rnacentral:rRNA from 1 species
GGGGACGAUGCUCGGAUACUGGGCGUAAGCGCGUGUGGGCGGUUGGGCAAGUCAGAUGUGAAAGCCUUCUGCUUAACAGAAGAAGUGCAUUUGAAACUACCCGGCUAGAGUACGAGAGAGGAGAGUGGAAUCCCCGGUGUAGAGGUGAAAUUCGUAGAUAUCGGGAGGAACACCAGUGGCGAAGGCGGCUCUCUGGCUCGAUACUGACGCUGAGACGCGAAAGCGUGGGGAGCAAACAGGAUUAGAUACCCUGGUAGUCCACGCCCUAAACGAUGGGCACUAGGUGUAGGAGGUAUUGACCCCUUCUGUGCCGAAGCUAACGCAUUAAGUGCCCCGCCUGGGGAGUACGGCCGCAAGGCUAAAACUCAAAGGAAUUGACGGGGACCCGCACAAGCGGUGGAUGAUGUGGAUUAAUUCGAUGCAACGCGAAGAACCUUACCUACCCUUGACAUGUACGGAAGCCGGAUGAGAGUUCGGUGUGCCCGAAAGGGAGCCGUAACACAGGUGCUGCAUGGCUGUCGUCAGCUCGUGUCGUGAGAUGUUGGGUUAAGUCCCGCAACGAGCGCAACCCUUGUCACUAGUUGCUACGCAAGGGCACUCUAGUGAGACUGCCGGUGACAAACCGGAGGAAGGUGGGGAUGACGUCAAGUCCUCAUGGCCCUUAUGGGUAGGGCUUCACACGUCAUACAAUGGCGCAUACAGAGGGCUGCCAACCCGCGAGGGGGAGCCAAUCCCAGAAAGUGCGUCGUAGUCCGGAUUGCAGUCUGCAACUCGACUGCAUGAAGUCGGAAUCGCUAGUAAUCGCGGAUCAGCAAUGUCGCGGUGAAUACGUUCCCGGGCCUUGUACACACCGCCCGUCACACCAUGAGAGCUGACUGUACCAGAAGUCACUGGGCCAACCCGCAAGGGAGGCAGUGCCUAAAGUAUGGUUGGUGAUUGGGGUGAAGUCGUAACAAGGUAACC